UAGAGAUUCAAUAUCAGAUAUAAAGAGAGAAAUGCAUUUAAAAAGACAACAAAAGAAGGGGACAAAAAGGGAGCAGAGACAAAUGAGAUAGCAUAGCUCAGCUUCUACUGAUAAUUCACCACAUCAGCACCAUAAAUAAAGAAGGUAAAAUUCUUCUACUUUUUUCCUCCAUGACUCAGACUAUGAAGCAAAUAGUACAGCAGGCUGAUCACAGCUUUAAAAAUCUCAUCAUCUAUGGAAAAGCAGCGGAGAGGAUCUUAGCGCAAUACAGUGGUUAUCUACAGAAAGGUAAUACCAUCAAGAUUCUGUAGGUGGGCGUAUGCAGCAGAACCAUUUCUUAGCCUGAGGUUUGCCAGGAUCUGCUACAUUUUUGGCCUGAGGUGCCUUUCCAGGUGAUUCGGGUUGGCCACCGGUUUUCUUCUCAUCUCUUGCCUUAUUAAAGAUCACAGUGAAGCCCUCUGCAGAAGCAGGAUUAUUAACAUCCCAUUCACCAAACUUCGGAAGUGGCUGACCCUUCUCCGACAUGAAUUCGAGAAAGUUGGUUUGCCAAUAAACGAAGAAUCGAAGAAGGGAAGAAAGAGGAUGGCCACACCAGAAGCAGGAGAGGAGCGAGCGAGAGAGACAAGAAGAAGAAGAAAG
rnacentral:misc_RNA from 1 species